rnacentral:rRNA from 1 species
AUUGAACGCUGGCGGCAGGCCUAACACAUGCAAGUCGAACGGUAACAGGAAGCAGCUUGCUGCUUUGCUGACGAGUGGCGGACGGGUGAGUAAUGUCUGGGAAACUGCCUGAUGGAGGGGGAUAACUACUGGAAACGGUAGCUAAUACCGCAUAACGUCGCAAGACCAAAGAGGGGGACCUUCGGGCCUCUUGCCAUCGGAUGUGCCCAGAUGGGAUUAGCUAGUAGGUGGGGUAACGGCUCACCUAGGCGACGAUCCCUAGCUGGUCUGAGAGGAUGACCAGCCACUCUGGAACUGAGACACGGUCCAGACUCCUACGGGAGGCAGCAGUGGGGAAUAUUGCACAAUGGGCGCAAGCCUGAUGCAGCCAUGCCGCGUGUAUGAAGAAGGCCUUCGGGUUGUAAAGUUCUUUCAGCGGGGAGGAAGGGAGUAAAGUUAAUACCUUUGCUCAUUGACGUUACCCGCAGAAGAAGCACCGGCUAACUCCGUG